UACCCUGUUGCUUCGGCGUGGCCACGGCCCGCCGAAGACUAACAUUUGAACACUGUCUGAAGUUUGCAGUCUGAGUUUUUAGUUAAACAAUAAUUAAAACUUUCAACAACGGAUCUCUUGGUUCCGGCAUCGAUGAAGAACGCAGCGAAAUGCGAUAAUUAAUGUGAAUUGCAGAAUUCAGUGAAUCAUCGAGUCUUUGAACGCACAUUGCGCCCCCUGGUAUUCCGGGGGGCAUGCCUGUCCGAGCGUCAUUGCUGCCCUCAAGCACGGCUUGUGUGUUGGGCUUCCGUCCCUGGUAACGGGGACGGGCCCAAAAGGCAGUGGCGGCACCAUGUCUGGUCCUCGAGCGUAUGGGGCUUUGUCACCCGCUCCCGUAGGUCCAGCUGGCAGCUAGCCUCGCAACCAAUCUUU
rnacentral:sRNA from 1 species